rnacentral:lncRNA from 1 species
CUGGCACGUUGUUCGACCGUACCGGCCCUCCGGCAUACCAAGUACCCCAAACGAUGGGGACGCUGUCAGAGCCUGGGAGGGGCGCAACAAAUUGAAAUGAUUGCAGUUUGCAGAGCGAGGGGCUUGCGCAAGACUUCAAUAGAAUCGUGGAACAACUGUUGUAAUCAAAAACUUUUGGGGACUGUCUCUGUCGCCUCUCUCAGGCCCCAACUGAAUGGUCAACAUACAUAGUAAAACAAAAAUAAAGAUACCAAAAGCUAGAGCCAGA